rnacentral:rRNA from 1 species
UACGUAGGGAGCGAGCGUUGUCCGGAGUUACUGGGCGUAAAGCGCACGCAGGCGGUCUGUCGCGUUCGUGCCGACAGCGACUCGCCUAACGAGUCGAGGAGUACGGAAACGGGCAGACUUGAGGGCCAGAGAGGGACACGGAACUCCGGGUGGAGUGGUGAAAUGCGUAGAGAUCCGGAAGAACACCAAAGGCGAAGGCAGUGUCCUGGUUGGUACCUGACGCUCAGAGGCGACAGCUAGGGGAGCGAACGG